UACGUAGGGGGCAAGCGUUGUCCGGAAUCAUUGGGCGUAAAGAGCGCGUAGGCGGUCCGGUAAGUCCGCUCUGAAAGCCCGGGGGCUCAACCCCCGGGAGGCGGGCGGAUACUGUCGGGCUAGAGUCCGGAAGAGGCGAGUGGAAUUCCUGGUGUAGCGGUGAAAUGCGCAGAUAUCAGGAGGAACACCGAUGGCGAAGGCAGCUCGCUGGGACGGUACUGACGCUGAGGCGCGAAAGCGUGGGGAGCAAACAGG
rnacentral:rRNA from 1 species